AAAAAGAUAAACCAUGAGUUUUCGUGCCAACAUUUAACUGUCCAUCUUAUAAAAAAAACUAUAAUUAGUAUUUUCAUUGUUGUUAGAUGAUAAAACAUGAUUAAUACUUUAUGCGUGACUUAUAUUUUUUUCAUAAUUUUUUCAAAUAAGACGGACGGUCAAACGUUGGACACGGAAACCAAGGUUUGUCUUUUUU
rnacentral:pre_miRNA from 1 species